rnacentral:rRNA from 1 species
CCUACGGGUGGCAGCAGUCGAGAAUCAUUCACAAUGGGGGAAACCCUGAUGGUGCGACGCCGCGUGGGGGAAUGAAGGUUUUCGGAUUGUAAACCCCUGUCAUGUGGGAGCAAAUUAAAAAGAUAGUACCACAAGAGGAAGAGACGGCUAUCUCUGUGCCAGCAGUCGCGGUAAUACAGAGGUCUCAAGCGUUGUUCGGAAUCACUGGGCGUAAAGCGUGCGUAGGCUGUUUCGUAAGUCGUGUGUGAAAGGCGCGGGCUCAACCCGCGGACGGCACAUGAUAAUGCGAGACUAGAGUAAGGGAGGGGGAACGGGAAUUCUCGGUGUAGCAGUGAAAUGCGUAGAUAUCGAGAGGAACAUUCGUGGCGAAAGCGGGUUCCUGGACAUUAACUGACGCUGAGGCACGAAGGCCAGGGGAGCGAAAGGGAUUAGAUACCCGAGUAGUC